UAGCGCCUCGUGAAUUCAUCUCCGGGGGUAGAGCACUGUUUCGGCUAGGGGGCCAUCCCGGCUUACCAACCCGAUGCAAACUGCGAAUACCGGAGAAUGUUAUCACGGGAGACACACGGCGGGUGCUAACGUCCGUCGUGAAGAGGGAAACAACCCAGACCGCCAGCUAAGGUCCCAAAGUCAUGGUUAAGUGGGAAACGAUGUGGGAAGGCCCAGACAGCCAGGAUGUUGGCUUAGAAGCAGCCAUCAUUUAAAGAAAGCGUAAUAGCUCACUGGUCGAGUCGGCCUGCGCGGAAGAUGUAACGGGGCUAAACCAUGCACCGAAGCUGCGGCAGCGACACUGUGUGUUGUUGGGUAGGGGAGCGUUCUGUAAGCCUGUGAAGGUGUGUCGUGAGGCAUGCUGGAGGUAUCAGAAGUGCGAAUGCUGACAUAAGUAACGAUAAAGCGGGUGAAAAGCCCGCUCGCCGGAAGACCAAGGGUUCCUGUCCAACGUUAAUCGGGGCAGGGUGAGUCGACCCCUAAGGCGAGGCCGAAAGGCGUAGUCGAUGGGAAACGGGUUAAUAUUCCCGUACUUGGUGUUACUGCGAAGGGGGGACGGAGAAGGCUAUGUUGGCCGGG
rnacentral:rRNA from 1 species